rnacentral:rRNA from 1 species
GACGAACCGUGCGAACGUUGUUCGGAUUCACUGGGCUUAAAGGGCGCGUAGGCGGGUGAUCAAGUCCGGGGUGAAAUCCUCCAGCUUAACUGGAGAACAGCCUUGGAUACUGGUCAUCUGGAGGAAGGUAGGGGCAUGUGGAACUAAUGGUGGAGCGGUGAAAUGCGUAGAUAUCAUUAGGAACGCCGGUGGCGAAAGCGACGUGCUGGACCUUUCUGACGCUGAUGCGCGAAAGCCAGGGGAGCAAACGGG